GACGAACGCUGGCGGCAGGCCUAACACAUGCAAGUCGAGCGGAGCGGCGGACGGGGGAGUAAUGCCUAGGUAUCUGCCUGGUCGUGGGGGAUAACGUCCGGCACUGGGCGCUAAUGCCGCAUACUAUCAGAUGAGGCUAGGUGGGAAUAGCUAGUUGGUGGGGUAAAGGCCUACCAAGGCGACGAUCCGUAACUGGUCUGAGAGGAUGAUCAGUCACACUGGAACGGAGACACGGUCCAGACUCCUACGGGAGGCAGCAGUGGGGAAUAUUGGACAAUGGGCGAAAGCCUGAUGCAGCCAUGCCGCGUGUGUGAAGAAGGUCUUCGGAUUGUAAAGCACUUUAAGCUGGGAGGCGUUACCAACAGAAUAAGCACCGGCUAACUCCGUGCCAGCAGCCGCGGUAAUAC
rnacentral:rRNA from 1 species